rnacentral:rRNA from 1 species
AUGAUCAUGAAAGGGUCACCCUCUGCCUAUUAAAUCCAUUGUUUUGCACAUCAACAUCAGUUGGUUCUUAUAGCUGUGGCAAAGGACAAUGAACCAUGUUUGUGGUUCUUUGAUCAUGUCUCUUACUUUCUCAAUAUUGUUGGAGUUUCUUGUAUGCGCCAUGGCAUGCUUCGAGAUGUUAGAGCUCAAAAGGUGUUGGAAGCACUUGAAAUGGGUGAGAUUGAAAGUGGAAGUGGGCUAAAUCAGGAGAUGGGACUAGCUAGACCCGGCGACACUCAUUGGGGUUCUUAUUUUAAAACCAUUAUGCACAUUGUUAGCAUGUAUUCCACAAUCCUUGAAGUACUUGAUGCUAUUGGAAAAGAUCCUUCACAAAAAAGUGAGUGGACAAGAAUAUGUGGAGUUGCUCAAGCCUUUGAAUCAUUUGACUUUGUUUUCAAUCUUCACUUGAUGCUUGUUAUUCUUGGCUAUACAAAUGAGUUGUCCAAAUCUUUGCAAAAGAGAGAUCAAGAUAUUGUCAAUGCAAUGACACUUGUUAGUUUGGCAAAGAGUAGAAUGCAACACAUGAGGUCUCAUGGUUGGGAAGAUUUUCUUGCAAAGCUAACCUUAUUUUGCAACAAACAUGACAUUCAAGUUCCUUUGUGGGAGGAUAUUUAUGAGCCUAAUCGAAGAUCACGUCAGUAUUAUGAAGUACAAACAAAUGAUGAUCGUUAUGGAAGAGAAGUAUAUCUUGGUGUCAUUGAUCAAACCAUUCAACAGCUUGACAAUCGGUUUGAUGAGGUUAAUACGGAGUUGCUUAUUUGCAUGUCGGCUUUGAAUCCCCUCAAUUCAUUUGCUUCUUAUGAUGCACUCAAGGUAAUGAGACUUGCUGAAUUCUAUCCCAUGGACAUUUCAAGCACAUAUUUGAUAAGGCUAGAAUUUCAACUUACUAAUUUUAUUGAUGAUAUGAGACAAGAUGAUAGGUUUAGAAAUGCAAGUAAUAUUGGUGAGCUCUCUAUUAUGCUUGUUGCAACAAAGAAGCAUGUUCUUUAUGAUUUGGUCUACUUACUCAUCAAAUUGAUAUUGAUUUUAUCGGUGGCGACGGCGAGUGUUGAAAGAGUGUUUUCAGCAAUGAAUCUAGUGAAAAAUAAGUUGAGGACUACUAUGAGUGAUGAUCGCUUGAAUGAUUGCUUGGUGUUCAUGCAAGUAAGCGAAGAUGACAUAGUUGAUGCUUUCAUGGGCAAUGCAAAAAUGUAG